rnacentral:rRNA from 1 species
UGGGGAAUAUUGGACAAUGGGGGGAACCCUGAUCCAGCAAUGCCGCGUGUGUGAAGAAGGCCUUAGGGUUGUAAAGCACUUUAGGUGAGGAAGAAGCCAAUUAGUUUAAGAGAUGAAUUGGGUGACGGUACUCACAGAAUAAGCACCGGCUAACUCUGUGCCAGCAGCCGCGGUAAUACAGAGGGUGCGAGCGUUAAUCGGAAUUACUGGGCGUAAAGGGCGCGUAGGUGGUUUGAUAAGUUAGAUGUGAAAACCCUGGGCUUAACCUGGGACUUGCAUAUAAUACUAUUGAGCUAGAGUACAAUAGAGGGUAGUGGAAUUUCCGGUGUAGCGGUGAAAUGCGUAGAUAUCGGAAGGAACACCGGUGGCGAAGGCGGCUACCUGGAUUGAUACUGACACU